rnacentral:rRNA from 1 species
GCGUGCCUAACACAUGCAAGUCGAACGAGAAAGCUCCUUCGGGAGUGAGUAGAGUGGCGCACGGGUGAGUAACACGUGGAUAAUCUGCCUGAUAAUCUGGGAUAACAUUUCGAAAGGGAUGCUAAUACCGGAUAAGCCCACAGCCUCUUCGGAGGCAGCGGGAAAAGAUGGCCUCUUCUUGAAAGCUAUUGUUAUCAGAUGAGUCCGCGGUCCAUUAGCUAGUUGGUAGGGUAAUGGCCUACCAAGGCUACGAUGGAUAGCUGGUUUGAGAGAAUGAUCAGCCACACUGGAACUGAGACACGGUCCAGACUCCUACGGGAGGCAGCAGUGGGGAAUUUUGCGCAAUGGGGGAAACCCUGACGCAGCAACGCCGCGUGAGUGAUGAAGGUUUUCGGAUCGUAAAGCUCUGUCAAGAGGGAAGAAACCUCCAAUGGCUAAUACCUGUUGGAAUUGACGGUACCUCUAGAGGAAGCACCGGCUAACUCCGUGCCAGCAGCCGCGGUAAUACGGAGGGUGCAAGCGUUGUUCGGAAUUAUUGGGCGUAAAGCGCGUGUAGGCGGUUAGUUAAGUCUGAUGUGAAAGCCCCGGGCUCAACCUGGGAAGUGCAUUGGAUACUGGCAAACUUGAGUACGGGAGAGGGAAGUGGAAUUUCGAGUGUAGGGGGUGAAAUCCGUAGAUAUUCGAAGGAACACCAGUGGCGAAGGCGGCUUCCUGGACCGAUACUGACGCUGAGACGCGAAAGCGUGGGGAGCAAACAGGAUUAGAUACCCUGGUAGUCCACGCCGUAAACGAUGGGUACUAGGUGUUGCGGGUAUUGACCCCUGCAGUGCCGAAGCUAACGCAUUAAGUACCCCGCCUGGGGAGUA